GGAGCGCUUAAUCCAUACAGUGCUAUUGUUGGCUUUAGUCUCUGGGAUAGCUUCAAGUUUUUCGAACUUACAGAGAUUUUGCGACAGCGAGAUGACCAACCUUUUUCAAUCGCACUAAAUAACAUGGCAUCGGCCGAAAUGACGUCUGAAGAUAUUCAGUUGCUUAGGAACAGAAUAGUUGACGGCAGUCAAGCACCAAGAGAUGCGAUCCACUUAUUUUAUAGCAAUAACGAGACAGAUAGGUACAAUAGGGAGAAGCUAUCGUCGAUUACGACAGCAGAAUAUACUUCAAUAGCUUUAGACUGCAUCAAAGCCGAACAUCUUACCUCAGAGAUUAAAAGUAGAUAUCUUGAGGCUGUCAAGAGUUUUAAAACUUCAUGUACACAAGGUUUGUGUACUUCAUUGGUUCUCAAAACCACGGCUAAGUAUAUGAUGACAGUCAAUGUAGAUACAUCAAACGGCCUUGUUAACGGAGCCACUGGUGUUUUAAUGCAGAUAGAUCUCAACACAUCCAAUACUCCCCAACUUCUUUGGGUACAUUUUCUCGAGGAAAGCGUAGGAGUUAACGCACGGUCGAAACGCACCCAUAGUAACGAGUCUUCAUGGACACCAAUUCAGAAAACAACAAAGAGUUUUCAAUACCACCAAAACGAACAAGUUACUAUUGACCCUAAACAG
rnacentral:lncRNA from 1 species